AACGUAGGGGGCAAGCGUUGCCCGGAUUCACUGGGCGUAAAGCGGGUGUAGGCGGUUCCUUAAGUCAGAUGUGAAAUCCUGCGGCUCAACCGCGGAACUGCAUCUGAUACUGGGGAACUUGAGGACGGUAGAGGUCGGUGGAAUCCCCUGUGUACCGGUGAAAUGGGCAGAUAUAGGGGGGAACACCAGUGGCGAAGGCGGCCGACUGGGCCGAUCCUGACGCUGAGACCCGAAAGCCAGGGUAGCGAACCGG
rnacentral:rRNA from 1 species